AGUGAACGCUGGCGGUAGGCCUAACACAUGCAAGUCGAACGGCAGCACAGUAAGAGCUUGCUCUUACGGGUGGCGAGUAGCGGACGGGUGAGGAAUACAUCGGAAUCUACUUUUUCGUGGGGGAUAACGUAGGGAAACUUACGCUAAUACCGCAUACGACCUACGGGUGAAAGCAGGGGAUCUUCGGACCUUGCGCGAUUGAAUGAGCCGAUGUCGGAUUAGCUAGUUGGCGGGGUAAAGGCCCACCAAGGCGACGAUCCGUAGCUGGUCUGAGAGGAUGAUCAGCCACACUGGAACUGAGACACGGUCCAGACUACUACGGGAGGCAGCAGUGGGGAAUAUUGGACAAUGGGCGCAAGCCUGAUCCAGCCAUACCGCGUGGGUGAAGAAGGCCUUCGGGUUGUAAAGCCCUUUUGUUGGGAAAGAAAAGCAGCAGGUUAAUACCCCGCUGUCCUGACGGUACCCAAAGAAUAAGCACCGGCUAACUUCGUG
rnacentral:rRNA from 1 species